rnacentral:rRNA from 1 species
UACAGAGGGUGCGAGCGUUGUCCGGAAUCACUGGGCGUAAAGGGCGCGUAGGUGGCUUGCCAAGCGUGUGGUGAAAGCCCGGAGCUCAACUCCGGGUCGGCCAUGCGAACUGGCAGGCUAGAGCACGGUAGAGGCCAAUGGAAUUCCGGGUGUAGCGGUGGAAUGCGUAGAGAUCCGGAAGAACACCGGUGGCGAAGGCGGUUGGCUGGGCCGUUGCUGACACUGAUGCGCGACAGCGUGGGGAGCAAUCAGG